GGCCUUAUAGUUAAUAUAAUAUUAGAUUGCAAAUCUGAAGAUGAAAAAAUUUUUCUAAGGCUU
rnacentral:tRNA from 1 species